rnacentral:rRNA from 1 species
CCUACGGGAGGCAGCAGUAGGGAAUAUUGCUCAAUGGGGGAAACCCUGAAGCAGCAACGCCGCGUGGAGGAUGAAGGUUUUCGGAUUGUAAACUCCUUUUGUUAGAGAAGAUAAUGACGGUAUCUAACGAAUAAGCACCGGCUAACUCCGUGCCAGCAGCCGCGGUAAUACGGAGGGUGCAAGCGUUACUCGGAAUCACUGGGCGUAAAGAGCGCGUAGGCGGGAUAGCAAGUCAGAUGUGAAAUCCUAUGGCUUAACCAUAGAACUGCAUUUGAAACUGUUAUUCUAGAGUAUGGGAGAGGUAGGUGGAAUUCUUGGUGUAGGGGUAAAAUGCGUAGAGAUCAAGAAGAAUACUCAUUGCGAAGGCGACCUGCUAGGACAUAACUGACGCUGAUGCGCGAAAGCGUGGGGAGCAAACAGGAUUAGAUACCCGGGUAGUC